UGUCGCUGCAGCUGCAAUCGUAAGUGAGCGGAGAUGACUGGUCGGAGUGUACUUUGCAUGUAUAUUUCAUAGAAAAUAAUGAAGCAGUAUAUACAGAUUUAACAUUCAUAUUCACUACAAUUUCUUAAUGACUGUAAGCGUUUUGUUGUCGGACAGGCAAAAUACAUAAAGGUGAUAACAUUGGAUUGCAUCUGAAAAUUGAACAAGUAUGUUGAUGGGAACCUUAGUGCGCGUUUUGGCAGUUCUUAAUUUGAUAUAUCAAGACACACAGGGCAAACUUUCUGGUUAUUUCAUCUAUGAUAAUAGACAGUGCAAGUGGAUGGAACUAACAAGGAACGGACCCGGACCCCGGUCAUUAGCAGUCAAUUGUCCAGCUUCUAAAGAUGGUAAAAAACCCGCAAUAGGUUGCCAAUACAGAGGUAAUCCGCACCCAUGCAAGGAAUACAAUAAAGACCCAGGGAAAUAUUACCAGUGCUUGGCAGACACACUAGGAAAAAUAGGCGACCUUUGCAAUAUCAACACCGUUAUCUGCAAGAGAAUGUGCAGUGAUAUUGAGUUUCAAUUGGAGAAGGACACUAAGAAAGAGGAUGGAAAUCAAAAAUUUGUCUUUGUACUUGUUGGUAUUGCUGCUGUCUCUUUCAUCUUUGUCCUUUUAUAUUUCCUUAAAUAAUUUUUACAAUGUAGUAAAUUUAAGAUCCUUA
rnacentral:lncRNA from 1 species